rnacentral:rRNA from 1 species
GUCAUUGGAAACUGGGAGACUUGAGUGCAGAAGAGGAAAGUGGAAUUCCAUGUGUAGCGGUGAAAUGCGUAGAGAUAUGGAGGAACACCAGUGGCGAAGGCGACUUUCUGGUCUGUAACUGACACUGAGGCGCGAAAGCGUGGGGAGCAAACAGGAUUAGAUACCCUGGUAGUCCACGCCGUAAACGAUGAGUGCUAAGUGUUAGAGGGUUUCCGCCCUUUAGUGCUGAAGUUAACGCAUUAAGCACUCCGCCUGGGGAGUACGGGCCGCAAGGCUGAAACUCAAAGGAAUUGACGGGGGCCCGCACAAGCGGUGGAGCAUGUGGUUUAAUUCGGAAGCAACGGCGAGGAAUCUUUACCAGGUCUUGACAUCCUUCUGAACAACCCUAGAAGAUAGGGGCUUCCUCUUCGGAAGCAGAGGUGACCAGGUGGGUGCAUGGGUUGUCGUCCAGCUCCGUGGUCCUGAGAAUGUUGGGUUAAGGUCCCGCAAAGCGAGGGCGCAACCCCUGGAUUCUUUAGUUGCCAUUCAUUUUAUGUUUGGCUACUUCCUAAGGGGUGACUGGCCGGGUGAACAAACCGUGAGGGAAGGGUGGGGUAUAUACAUUCUAAAUCCUUAUUGUCCCCUUAUUAGACCUGGGGGGUUCACCCCACGGGUCUAACAUGUGGAAGAAAACAAGGAGGAGUGAACAUGGUCUUCCUCG